AUUAGGUGCAGAAUCACAAUUGUCCUUUCAAUCAUACAUAUUUGGUUCGUAACAUAUGGGGCAUAGAGUAAUUGGAGCAUAUCAGAAACGAAUGAAACGUUUUGGAGCAUAACAAUAACAUAUGAAACAUAUCGGAGCUUAUCAAUGGCAUAUGAAAUGUUCCGGAGCAUAUCAAUAGCGUAUGGAACAUUUCGAAGCAUAUCAACAAUGAAUGAAACAUUUCGGAGCUUAUCAAUAUCACAUACCAAACAGAAGCUCAAACGUCGUCUUUGACGUUGCAUUCAUAUUAUUCUUAUCCAAAGCAUGUACAAAAACA
rnacentral:lncRNA from 1 species